UUAACAAUUUAUUUAUUGUGUUUGCUGUUUGACAGGGUCAGUGAAUACAAGAUCAAGAACUUUAUGUUUGCUGCUGCAGAUCACUGAAAACAGAAAUAAAUGGAGUUAUUACAUUCAUCCAAGGCAUAAUCCACCAAAAAUGUCUCAUGUCCAAGCCUAAUGGAAAUUAACAAGAAAUUUGUAAAACUGUAAUCUUUGUCAAAGCUUGCAUCUUUUUUUACUCAUUUUGAAAGCAAUAGAAUUUAAUACUCACUUUUAUAGGCUAUAGUCAUUGAGGGGGAUAAAGACUUUGUAAAACUCUUUCACUGCUACUCAGCAAAUUCCAGCCAGCUGAACCUUUUUAAAAAUCCAUUUUUAUAGCAGCUCAACAAGUUGUCAUCUGAUUGAUGGCCACUUCGAAACCAAACUUGAAACAGAUGGUCCCAUCUGUGCCAGUCAUAUUCCUUCCAAAACAAUUGCCUCCCCAGUGAUUCUAGGCAGGAAGCAAAGACAGAAGAUUGUAAAGUGUCAGGAGCAACCGUCUCAGCUUUUAGAGACAGGCAUUUUGUGUAUCUAGCGUCUUCAAUGGGAGAAGCAGCUAUUUAUUGAUUUGUAGGAUGUCGCUUUUGAGAUGCUUUGUUACAGCAGAUGACAGUCUCCCUUGUGACGAACUCACCUACUUUCUCCAAAGAAUGCAGAGACUUGGCUCCUCCCAUCUGCUCUGGUUGGCCAAUCCUAAGAAUCUCUCUCUAAGCUCCUCCCCCUUUCUAACCACACUCAAGAUGGCUGCCUGGCAUUCCUCAACAAAAUGGAGGCUGCCUCACUCACUGUUACCAAGGCUUCAUUCUCGGCCUAAUAGGUAAGGUUCACUACAGUAGCCAAUGUUUUUUAGUCCAUGUUUUCAAUAUAUUGGGAUGU
rnacentral:lncRNA from 11 species